ACAGUGACGUUGAGGAUGGAGGAAGUGGUGUAGCGAUUCUUUUGAGCGUAUGAACAGAAAUCUGAUAUAAGGCUAAAUGGUGGAUAAGGUUGCUAAUCAAACCGAAGUCCAAAAAGGUAAACGUAAAACCAAGACAGUAAAUCAGGACGUUGUGAAAGA
rnacentral:ncRNA from 1 species